rnacentral:misc_RNA from 1 species
GAAAUGCGAUAAGUAAUGUGAAUUGCAGAAUUCAGUGAAUCAUCGAAUCUUUGAACGCACCUUGCGCUCCUUGGUAUUCCUUGAAGCAUGCCUGUUUGAUUAUCAUGAAAUCUUCAAAGUAAAUCUUUUGUUAACUCAAUUGGUUUCUACUUUGGUAUUGGAGGUCUUUGCAGCUUCACACCUGCUCCUCUUUGUUCAUUAGCUGGAUCUCAGUGUUAUGCUUGGUUCCACUCGGCGUGAUAAGUUAUCUAUCGCUGAGGACACUGUAAAAGGUGGCCAAGGUAAAUGCAGAUGAACCGCUUCUAAUAGUCCAUUGACUUGGACAAUACUUUUAUGAUCUGAUCUCAAAUCAGGUAGGACUACCCGCUGAACUUAAGC